UGUUCGUUAUUUAGGGCGCAUGGUGGAUGCCUUGGCAUGCUGGGCCGAUGAAGGACGUGUAAGGCUGCGUUAAGCCUCGGGGAGUUGUCAAUAGAGCGUUGAUCCGAGGAUGUCCGAAUGGGGAAACCUGGCACCUGUUAUGGGGUGUUACCCUUCAGUGAAUUCAUAGCUGUUGUGGGGGUUUACGCGGGGAAGUGAAACAUCUCAGUACCCGUAGGAGAAGAAAAUAAAAUAUGAUUCUGCUAGUAGUGGCGAACGAACGUGGAUGAGGCUAAACCGUGUGCAUGUGAUACUUGGUAGGGGUUGUGUGUGCGGUGUUGUGGGCCCCAAUGUGCGGUGACUACCAUCAUCGUGCUUGUGUGUUGUUGUUAGGUGAAGUGGUGUGGAAACACCCACCGUAGAGGGUGAUAGUCCCGUAGUUGAAGGCUUCAAUGCAUGGGUUGUUGGGUUGCCCGAGUAGCAGCGGGCUCGUGGAAUCUGCUGUGAAUCUGCCGGGACCACCCGGUAAGCCUAAAUACUCAGUGUGACCGAUAGUGUAUGAGUACCGUGAGGGAAUGGUGAAAAGUACCCCGGGAGGGGAGUGAAAUAGUUCCUGAAACCAUGUGCUUACAAUCCGUCAGAGCACCUGUUGUGUGUGAUGGCGUGCCUUUUGAAGAAUGAGCCUGCGAGUCAGCGGCAUGUCGCGAGGUUAACCCGUGUGGGGUAGCCGUAGGGAAACCGAAUCCUCAUGGGGUGUUUAGUGGCAUGUCCUGGACCCGAAGCGGGGUGAUCUACCCAUGGCCAGUGUGAAGCAGUAGUAAGAUGCUGUGGAGGCGCGAACCCACGUAGGUUGAAAACUGCGGGGAUGAGCUGUGGGUAGGGGUGAAAGGCCAAUCAAACUCCGUGAUAGCUGGUUCUCCCCGAAAUGCAUUUAGGUGCAGCGUCGCAUUAGCUUGGUGGAGGUAGAGCUACUGGUUGGUUGAGCGGGACUACAAUCUUAGCAAUGUCAGCCAAACUCCGAAUGCCACUAAUUGUGUUGUGCGGCAGUGAGACUGUGGGGGAUAAGCUUCAUAGUCGAGAGGGAAACAGCCCAGAUCGCCGGUUAAGGCCCCUAAGGGUGUGCUAAGUGGAAAAGGAUGUGGGAUCGCGAAGACAGCCAGGAGGUUGGCUUAGAAGCAGCCAUCCUUGAAAGAGUGCGUAAUAGCUCACUGGUCGAGUGGUCCUGCGCCGACAAUGUAGUGGGGCUCAAGCACACCGCCGAAGCCGCGGCAAUACUUU
rnacentral:rRNA from 1 species